UACGUAGGGUGCAAGCGUUAAUCGGAAUUAUUGGGCGUAAAGAGCUCGUAGGCGGUUUGUCGCGUCUGCCGUGAAAGUCCGGGGCUCAACUCCGGAUCUGCGGUGGGUACGGGCAGACUAGAGUGAUGUAGGGGAGACUGGAAUUCCUGGUGUAGCGGUGAAAUGCGCAGAUAUCAGGAGGAACACCGAUGGCGAAGGCAGGUCUCUGGGCUGUAACUGACGCUGAGGAGCGAAAGCAUGGGGAGCGAACAGG
rnacentral:rRNA from 1 species